CAGUGAAUCAGAUGUUACUAAGAACUCUUCAUCUACAAGUCUUCAACGCCAGUUUAAAGUUUUUCGAGCUCAAGUUUCAAAUUGAAUUAAUAAUUUGCGUGAGGUGUUUAUUGUUAGAUUCCAUUUGAAUAACUGCAACCAUGAGUUACUACGUUUAUCAGUGUUCAGCAACGGUGUUGCCAGCCGAUCCGUUUGAUGCGGAAGAGGACGCGGGAGUUCUGCGGAAGGCGAUGAAGGGCUUCGGCACAGAUGAGCAGGCCAUCAUAGAUGUGCUCGGCCAUCGGUCCAUUGUGCAGCGGCUAGAGAUCGAAACCGCCUUCAAAACACUCUAUGGCAAGGACUUGAUCAGCGACCUGAAGAGUGAGCUGGGCGGCAACUUUGAGGACGCCGUGUUGGCUCUGAUGACUCCUCUGCCCGACUUCUACGCCAAGGAGCUUCAUGACGCCGUGGCGGGCAUUGGCACAGAUGAGGCGGCCAUAGUCGAAGUGCUCUGCUCCCUCAGCAACUAUGGCAUUCGCACCAUUUCUGCCGUCUACCAGAAGUUGUACGAAAACUCUUUGGAAGAUGAUCUGAAAAGCGACACUUCUGGACACUUCAAGCGCCUGUUAGUCUCUUUGUGCCAGGCUAAUCGUGAUGAAAACUUGGAUGUAGAUGAAGAAGCAGCUGUGAAGGACGCUGAAGAACUGGUUGCAGCAGGACAAGACCAGUGGGGAACGGAUGAAUCUAUAUUCAACUCAAUCCUCGUGUCUCGCUCGUACCCUCAGCUGAGACGCAUCUUCCAGGAAUACCAGAACCUCACAGGAAACGAUAUCGAGGAAACUAUCAAGUCAGAAGUUGGAGGAAGUUUGGAGGAUGGAUUCCUCUCUAUUGUGAGAUGUGUGAAGAACAAGUCUCGCUUCUUUGCUGAGAGACUGGAGGAUAGCAUGGCAGGAAUGGGAACCAAUGACCGCACUCUGAUCCGCAUCGUGGUCGGUCGAUCCGAGAUUGAUCUGGGAGACAUCAAGUCCGAGUACUAUGAGAUCUAUGGCAAGCCCCUGGAAGAGCGCAUUGCUGGUGAUUGUUCUGGGGAUUACAAACGUCUAUUGCUGGCUUUGGUUUCGUAAAUGCUGUCAAUGCGCUUUUUAUGUGGGGUGGAAAUCAGUCUCCAAGACACGAACUUUAAAGUUUGCACAAAAUGACCUCACAUGUGACUACAAAGGUCUCCUUGUCGCACUGCUUGGAUAAACUGUCAAGUUUUACACAUUACAUAUUAUAUCCCAUUACUAGUAAAACCCUAUAUAUUUAUUAAAUAUUAAUCCUAUUAACUUACAUUUAAUCAGUAUUAUGUGCUUAAAAAAUGUUUAAUCUUGAUGUCUAUUUAUAUCGAUGUUAAAUUAUGUAUGUUGAAAAAUUAUGCUUAAUUCCAAAUAUUUCCUUAGUGUUAUAUCAAAGAGAAACAAUAGCAUAAGUAGAUAUCCCAUGGUAUAGGACGUUUAUAUAGCAACUUUUACUGUUAUCUCAAGCUGAUAGUCCAAGUAGUUCUUUCCUGUGAAGCUUUAUGACGCUGGUAGUCUCUCAUAUUGUGCCGUUCAUACACUCUUACCCGGUCAAAACAGUAAUAAUCGACAGUAAUCGGCUAAUAUCUACUUACGCUAUUGUUUCUCUAUGGUUAUAUGUAGUUGCUCAUUGUGGCAUUUCAAUGUAUCCUAAUCAAGAAUCGGUUGGAAACCAUUUUUUAUCUACUGGUUUAAAAUUGUUCGAUACAAUCUUCAAGUAUAAGUUGAUAGACACAAUCCUGAUAGAAUCACUUCACCUAUAUGGGCCUCUUUAUUCAAAUUAAUAAAAGCAAUAUACAAAACCUGUAGUACCCUUUUAUUAAAACAUUUUAACGUCUAGUUUCGACCUACUUUGGCCAUUUUCAAGUUAAAAUGUAAACAUUGAAAUGAUGAUAGAAAAAAAUUUGACUGAGUAAUUGUCAAUAUUGUAGAGCCGUUCCAUAAUUGAAUAAAAACACACAUAUGUUGUCAAAUUCUACACAGUUGACUUAGAAACAGUUGUCUGUGUGUUUUUAUUCAAUUAUGAUAGAAAACUUAAAAUGCUUACAUUUUAACAAGUUUUAUAUUGUUUUUAUCAAUUACAAUCCUGAUGCACGUCUCAAUACAAUAGUCUCCCAAAGCUAGAUAAACAACGAUUUUGACCUAUGGUAAUAGGGCAAGGAAAGUAAAAAAGUGAAUAUGUUAAAAUCAUACAAUGUCUUUUAAUGGGAAUGAGCAUUGUGGAAGCUUAGCUUUGAAAUGUAAAAAUGAAGAAUACAUUAAAAGCUAAAGCUGCUUUUUGAUAUAGGCUCAACUGAGAAAUAUAAAUCAGUUCCACACAAUGUGUAUUGCUUCAACGAAUUAGUCUAUCGGUUUAAUUUAAUUUUCCUUCUGAAAAAAAGCCUUAAACAUUAUAAAACCUAAAUCCAUAUAAAUAUUAUAUUUUUGAGAUGUCAGAUGUUCACAGGAUAGCAUAGUAUCUAAAUUAU
rnacentral:misc_RNA from 1 species